rnacentral:tRNA from 1 species
UCCUAGGUGGCUCAAUGGUAAAAAUACUUGCCUGCCAAAGCAGGAGACUCAGGUUCAAUCCCUGGUCCAGGAA